ensembl:lncRNA
GCUUUCAGCUGUUCCUCCAAAACACAUCCUGUCUGUAGCCAACUCCCCACCUCCACUCCUGCCUCCACGGCCCACUCACCCCUCCUCUUACCUGAAAGACUGCAAUAGCCUUGUAGUGGGUGUUCCUGCUUUGUUCUCCCCUCACCACAUCCACUCUCCUCAACGCAACCGGAGGAGCUUUAAAAAUGUUAAUCAGAUCAAGUUUCUCCAUAGCUUAAAACCCCAUCCACCACCUGCAAGGCUGUCUGUGAUCCAGUCCCUCCCUACUUCUCCACCCUGACCUCCUCUCUGUUCCCGGAACAGCACCAAAUUCACUUCUGGCUCAGGGCCUUUGCACAUGCUGUUCCCUGCCCUCCUUCUCUCAACAGGCUUCUUGUAUCAUUCAAAUCUCAAGUCAAAUGUAACCCUUUCAGAGAAGGCUUUCUUCACUCCCACUCCUAGCCACUCUGUCAUAUCACCCUUGCACUCACCACAGUAAUUGCCUUGUUCUUUAUCGAUUUCCUGCCUCUCUACACUUGAUUGAAAACUCCUUGAGAGGGGGCCACGUUUCCCUCAUUUACUGCUGACUCCCCAGCACCUAAAGUAAUGCUUGGCCCACAGGGUGUAUUACAUGCCUGAUGGUGCGGUUUCCUAUGAAUAUUGUGGAAAGAGAAAAUGAAGGAGUGAGUGAAUUAUUCUUUAUCAAAAACAAAGCACCAAAAUUUUCUCUCAAAGCAGAAACUGGACAGUUAAAACACAGAAACAGAAUUUAAUGAGUUUGUAAUGAGACAGUGAGCUCCGUGAGAGUAGCUCCCACCUCUCCUGUUAAUGAUAUAUACCAGGGCCCAGAGCAAAACUUGGUACAGAACUGACACCAUGUAGGGAACAAACCAGACCACGGACCAGGCCACGUUAGGGGUUGGUGUGUUUCUGGGUGGAAGAGCCUGCUCAGCCAGGGCCGGCAGGGCAAGCUGUCCUCUCUGAGCCGACAGGGAAGCCUGGCGACGCUGGGGAAUUUGAGAGUCCCCGCCUGGCAUGCACUCCCCUUGAAAGGAUUGUCAGGAAACUGGAGGCCUCUCUGAAUUUGGAGAGGAUGAUUUAGUUCCUACUUGAUUGCUCUCCUCCUAACUCCCUCUCUCCAUGAAGCUCCUUGAAUAUAAAUUCAGGAAUUUAUCAUCGUAGCAUUAUUGUCUGCUUCUAACCAGUAACUCCUCCUUUAUAAAAAUGGGGGCUCUGGACUAGAUCUCUCAAUUCCCUUCAGAGCCAACAUUUGAUGGUUUUAAGUGAAAAUGUGUUCCACCUGGAACCAAGGGGCGUUCAGCUCAAGCCUCUAAAAAACACAGUUCAAGCUUAACUGGAAGGACCUGGAGAGCUAGUCACAGCCGCUGCCUCACAGCAGGUCCCAGGUAACGAGGCCCCUCUCACCUGACCUGAGCGUGGUAGGAGACAGCACGUGAUGAUUCUGAAGCCCAUAUCCUGUCCCCUCCAGGGCUUGGCAUUCUGUUUCCUGGAACUUCUCCGCUCUAAGCGGAGAUACUAUUAAAGAAUGUUUUAAACUGAGGAAUGAGAAAUAUUCUCCACGUGAGUUUUUAAAGUCCACGUGUGAGACUGGUGGUUCUUAAGCUCAAAGUCACCUGCAGUGCUUGUUAAAAUUGCAGUCUGCGGCUCAAUUCCAGCGCUCUGACUCAGUGGAUUUGCAUUUCCAGAGCUUCUAGGUGAUUCUGGAGCAAAUUUGUGGUGGAAAACUACCUGGUGCUACCUGGUAUGUAGGAGGCUGCGCUCCGCAGGGACCUGGCCUUAAACAGGCUCGGAGCCCCGCCCUCGCUGGCUUCCUGUGGCCUGUGAGGCCCGGGGAUCCGAGCAGCCUCUUCACUGACCGGCUUCAGGCCACUGGGUUCCACAAUUGCAUCAGUGAUCCGAACAGCCUGUCUCCUCAGUGCCAAACAGCUGGACACUUAGAGAGGGGAGGCCAUUCAUGUCCAGACAUACAGGGUCCUACCAUGUCCCUCAUCAGGCCACCAACUCCCUAAAGACAGAGGCUUCAUCUUCCAUUUCUUUUUCAUCUUCCUGGGCAAGGCGUACAGUCAAUUGGGCCCCAUCAACCCAGCUGCAGAUAAGGGUCCCCUUCAGCUGAAUAGUGGACCAAAUAGGAUAGAAGCAGCCUGGGAACAGGACCUAGACUCGUCUCCUGAGAUGAGGGACAUGCUGCAGAGAGAAGAUGGCGAUGGCAACUUGAGGAGGAAGGCUGCCAUCAAUGCUCGAGGAUGCUGGCUCCACACUGGCAGUGUUUGUCCCUUUGAGUCCCCAUGGUUGUUUUCUACAAAGGUUAAGAUGGGCCAGAAUCACUUUGGGACCCUCCGCCCCGGAGGGGUGUUCAGCACUUGCCUCUCCCACUUCUCUCCUGCUUCCUUUGACUCACCAC